AACGGCCGUACCAUGCUGAAUAUACCGGUUCUCGUUAGAUCACCGAAGUCAAGCAUCAUUGGGCGCGGUCAGUACUUGGGUGGGUGACCACCUGAGAACGCUGCGUGCCGUU